GCGGGCAUAGUGAAGUGGUAUCACUAUGGCCUUCCAAGCCAUCAGCCCGGGUUCGAAUCCCGGUGCCCGCA
rnacentral:tRNA from 1 species